GGGACGGGGCGGGGCGCCCAGUUGGCGUCACCAGGACAACGGGCGUUGCCGGCGCCGUGUGACUCUGGGCUGUGGGCGCGCCUGUGGCUCUUCGGCCAUGGUUUUCUCAAAUAAUGAUGAAGGCCUUAUUAACAAAAAGUUACCCAAAGAACUUCUUUUGAGAAUGCUGUUCAGCUUGUUGUUAAAUUUUACUUGGUCUAAUCCAGAAUGUACUAAGUAUGUACGUAGCAUUGGUCUGGAUUCUUUUUGUAAUGUGAAUAUUUUCCUUCUUGGAUAUAGUAACUUUGUGCCGAUGUGCACAGAUUUCCAAGGCUUGGAAUAUCUUAGCCCUGGAUGGAAGCAACUGGCAAAGAAUAGACCUUUUUAACUUUCAAACAGAUGUAGAGGGUCGAGUGGUGGAAAACAUCUCAAAGCGAUGCGGUGGAUUCCUGAGGAAGCUCAGCUUGCGAGGUUGCAUUGGCGUUGGAGAUUCCUCCUUGAAGACCUUUGCACAGAACUGCAGAAACAUUGAACAUUUAAACCUCAAUGGGUGCACAAAAAUCACUGACAGCACGUGUUACAGCCUUAGCAGAUUCUGUUCCAAGCUGAAACAUCUGGAUCUGACUUCCUGUGUGUCCAUUACAAACAGCUCCUUAAAGGGGAUCAGUGAGGGCUGUCGGCACCUGGAGUACCUGAACCUGUCAUGGUGUGAUCAGAUCACGAAGGAUGGCAUCGAGGCCCUGGUGCGGGGUUGUCGCGGCCUGAGAGCCCUGCUGCUGAGGGGCUGCACGCAGCUAGAAGACGAAGCUCUGAAGCACAUUCAGAAUUACUGCCAUGAGCUUGUGAGCCUCAACCUACAGUCCUGCUCACGCGUUACGGAUGAAGGCGUGGUGCAGAUUUGCAGGGGCUGCCACCGGCUGCAGGCCCUCUGCCUGUCUGGCUGCGGCAACCUCACGGAUGCCUCCCUCACAGCCCUAGCCUUGAACUGCCCAAGACUUCAGAUCUUGGAGGCUGCCCGAUGUUCCCAUUUGACUGAUGCAGGCUUUACACUUUUAGCUCGGAAUUGUCAUGACCUGGAGAAGAUGGAUCUCGAAGAAUGCAUCUUGAUAACCGACAGCACACUCAUCCAGCUCUCCAUUCACUGUCCUAAACUGCAAGCCCUGAGCCUGUCCCACUGUGAGCUCAUCACGGAUGAUGGGAUCCUGCACCUGAGCAACAGCCCUUGCGGCCACGAGAGGCUGCGGGUGCUGGAACUGGACAACUGCCUCCUCAUCACUGACGUGGCCCUGGAGCACCUGGAGAACUGUCGUGGCCUGGAGCGCCUCGAGCUGUACGACUGCCAGCAGGUCACCCGCGCGGGCAUCAAGCGGAUGCGGGCCCAGCUCCCUCAUGUCAAAGUCCAUGCCUACUUUGCUCCUGUCACCCCGCCGACAGCAGUGGGAGGAAGUGGACAGAGGCUAUGCAGGUGCUGUGUCAUCCUCUGACAGCAGCUGCCCAGCCCAGGGCUUCACGAGGUGUCCCUUCCUCCCGAGGACCCGAGUCUUUCUGACGUAGUCCACCAUCAUCCAAAUCUGUUGAUUCUCCAUUGGGAAAGGCAUUUACAGGUAAAAGACUUCUGCAGGGACUGCAGUAACUCUCGUGAUAGUUUUUACCUUUAUUCUGCUGUGAUGCAAUCAAUUCGAAGCCUUGUGUCAAUUACCACAGGGCAAGAGUGGUCAUAGUGCAGCCAGGACCACGCAGGAGCCCUGGAUCUCUAGAGGUGGGUGCCUCCCUCGGUACAGGACUCCUGCCCUUGGCUUUGUCAGCAUUCCUCGAACAGACCAUUAGUGUUAGCACAAAUUGAGCAGAAAAAUAAGCUGUUGAUUUUCUACCUGAUACUUCAGCCAGUGGCCUACUUUUAUUCACAACGAUUCCAUUUUGAUUAGCAGGACUUUUCCACUUUGAAGAUUAAAUAGCAACUUUAUCAAAGUGACUAUACUGCAAAUUCAUAAUGCCCGACAGUUUUCUAUGUAGCGACUUACAUGGAAGGCAAGUUAAUAGGUUUCCAUGAGACACCAAAGAAUGAGGACUCUAAACAGGGUGAAGCAAGGUCUUCACCUUUCUGUUUCUGUCAACUUGUCAUAUAUCCUUUUGGGGACCAAAAACUAAACAAAAGCAACUCAGUUUGUGUUGCCUGAUUGGAAAUCAUAAGCUCUGGCGUAGGCUGUGGCACAUAAUGUGUUGUUGUUAUAGAAAAGCUGAUCAUGUCAUGUCUCACAAACUUUGGGGGACCUUAAAGAAACAGAAUUAAGGCUCAAGUUAUCUAUAAUAUAAUCAAUUAAAAAUAAUGGAUGCAUGUAGAAUGGGUGUGAUUUUUUUCCAAGUUUAUUUUAAAAUCUUAGAAAUCAAGUUACACCAGGACUAUUCAAAAAUUUUACACACUUAAAACUAAAAUCAGUAAAGUGUUGGCACCUUUGAGACUUAUAUAAAAAUGAAUAAA